GCAGACCAAAAUCCCAAACAAGGAAAUGGUAGGGGAAUAAAACGACCAGAUUAUUUAAUUAAUGCAUGUAAUAAUUAAUAUUUUAUUUUAUUGUAAAUUAAGACGUAUUUAUGGGUUAAAAUGGAUUACGACUUCAAAACAAAGCUGGCGGCCGAGAGAGAGAGAGUAGAAGAUCUGUUCGAAUAUGAAGGUUGCAAAGUGGGUCGAGGCACCUACGGGCACGUUUAUAAAGCUAAGCGCAAAGACGGGAAAGAUGAGAAGGAGUAUGCACUGAAACAAAUAGAAGGCACUGGAAUAUCAAUGUCUGCCUGCAGGGAAAUUGCUCUCUUACGAGAACUGAAACACCCAAAUGUGAUCGCCCUGCAGAAAGUGUUCUUGUCCCACAGCGACAGAAAGGUUUGGCUCCUCUUUGACUAUGCUGAACAUGAUCUUUGGCACAUCAUCAAGUUCCACCGCGCCUCCAAGGCCAACAAGAAGCCAAUGCAGCUGCCCCGAGGGAUGGUGAAGUCUCUCCUAUAUCAGAUUCUGGAUGGGAUCCAUUACCUCCAUGCCAACUGGGUGCUCCACAGGGAUCUGAAACCAGCUAACAUCCUGGUGAUGGGGGAAGGUCCUGAACGAGGAAGAGUUAAAAUUGCUGACAUGGGUUUCGCCCGGCUCUUCAACUCUCCCCUUAAGCCGCUGGCGGACCUCGACCCUGUGGUGGUGACGUUCUGGUACAGGGCCCCUGAGCUUCUGCUGGGGGCCCGGCACUACACCAAAGCUAUCGAUAUUUGGGCAAUUGGCUGCAUCUUUGCCGAGCUGCUAACGUCGGAGCCUAUCUUUCACUGUCGCCAAGAAGACAUCAAGACCAGUAACCCCUUCCAUCACGACCAGCUGGACAGGAUUUUCAGCGUCAUGGGUUUCCCUGCAGAUAAGGACUGGGAAGACAUUAGGAAGAUGCCAGAGUACCCCACUCUGCAGAAGGACUUCAGGCGGACAACGUAUGCAAACAGCAGCUUAAUCAAAUACAUGGAGAAGCAUAAAGUCAAACCAGACAGCAAAGUUUUCCUGUUGCUCCAGAAACUCCUCACCAUGGACCCCACCAAAAGAAUCACAUCAGAGCAGGCGCUGCAGGACCCGUACUUCCUGGAAGACCCGCUACCAACCACUGAUGUGUUUGCCGGGUGUCAGAUACCCUAUCCAAAGCGAGAGUUUCUCAAUGAAGAUGAGCCAGAGGAGAAAACAGAGAAGAACCAGACCCAACAGCACCAGCAGACGACAGGCCAGACUCAGGCCCAGAACCAGCAGCAGACGACAGGCCAGCAGGCACCCUCCCAGCAGAGUUCUGCCCAAACAAAUGGCACCGCCGGAGCCACGGGGGCCACCACCGGCGCGGGUUUACAACACGGCCAGGACCAGGGGCCACCCAACAAGAAACCUCGGAUCGGACCCUCUGGGGCGUCCUCAGGCACAGGGGUGCUACAGUCAGAGUACCAGCACUCCGGCUCCCGCCUUGGUUACCAAAGUAACGUCCAAGGUUCCACCCAGCCCCAGAGCACCAUGGGAUACUCCUCGUCAUCCCAGCAGAGCUCCCAGUACACCCACCAGACACACCGUUACUGAGGCCCCCUGUCACUCCUCAACCAGCAGAGGAGCCAGCUCCUCCUCCUUCAAACAACCCUCAACAACCUCAGCAGAUGUCACCGGACGCCCUCGGCUCCCACAUCCUGGUCGGACCUGCCUCUCUGCAUAACAUCAUUCCAAGUCAACCAUACUCCUGUUCAACCCUCCCUCUUCUAUGACCUCUUACCUGACAGCCUUCAUCAACACUAACUGCACUGACUGCUGAAGCGAUCUGCAAAGAGCUGGAACAGAAGUGGGGUGAGUUUUGUCGCCCAAACACCCCUCCCCUACCACUCUGACCCUCUGGCCGGGCACUGGGCAGACAUUUGAUAGAGGCUGGGGCACAUUCAAAGACAGUGGGUGCGUUUUUUAAUACAUGCCAGAAGUGAUGUAAACGUGCAAUGCCCCUACAGAAAGUAUUCUCUUCUAUUUUUUCCUUUUUACCAUUUUUACAUGAAGUACAAACACCUACUUGAAUGUUAAUUGAAUUACUGAGUCAAUCUAUUAAAACACCUCUAAAAAUAGUCAGUGGUGGAAUGUAACUAAGUACAUUUACUCAAGUACCCCACUUAAAGGAGUACUAUGACAUUUUGGGAAAGGCACUUACUCACUUUCUUGCUGAGAGGUAAUUUGAGAAGAUUGGUACUGCUACCACCAGCAGCCAGCUAGCUUAGCUUAGCAUAAAGACUGGUAACAGGUGGAAGCCGUUAACGUGGCUCUGUCUGAAGGUGACACGAGCCGCCCACCAGCACCUCUAAAGCUCACAAAUUUACACACUAUAUCUUGUUUGUUUAAUUUGUACAGAAGCCGAAGUGUAAAAAUGAUAAUUUACCGUUUCUUCGUAUUUCUUACGACUAUUUCUUGGCCAGGACCGUUUACCAGGCAACCAGCAGCAACUCCAGGAAGUCCCGGCCAAGAAAUAGUCCGGCACAUAACCUGUCCAAGGGCUAAUUUGGCCAAAAAAAAGCAAAUAAGUGCAUUUCUCAAAAGGUUUUCCUCAAAUAUUUUCCUUUAAGUAGAAAUUUGAGGUAGUUAUACUUCUAGUAAUUGAGUAUUUCCAUUUCAUGCUGCUUUAUGCUUCUACACUAAAUUUCAGAAGGAAAUAUCCCAGUUUUUACACCACUACAUUUAGGUAAGGGCUUCAGAUAAUAGCUACCAGGAUAAUUAACAUUUGUAAUACAAAACUCACAUUACGAUCACUUUUAAUUAUGAGGCCUUUGUUCCCCACAAUGAAUCUCCUUCUUACCAAGUCAUUUUAGUCUAUAACUGAACCCGAAUCCCUUAUUUUUACUCAAAAUGUGGAAAAAAAAUCAUGGGUAUAGUAAGAAUAGUUCUGAAUGUUUUCAGUGCAAGUUCAUUCGUUUCAGGUAUUUUCUAAGAUCAAGUUUCAUUUUCAGAAUUCUAAAACCGGUUCAGAUACUCUUACUACAUUAACAGGAGAGAAAUUAAGUUUUUUAGGACCCAACUACGGCCCGAAUUGUCCUUUUAAGACUGGGGCUUUUGCACUGAUAGAGACUGAAGUGUGUAAAGUAGUUCAAAUGAACUGCACCACGACUACAGUAACUGCAACAGUAAAAUGCUACUUAGAUUUUAAUACACCAGUAAUAAUAACCCAGAAGUAUAAUCUACGUAUAACUCCAUGAAAUGGGCCACCCUACAGUACCUUUACUUUUACUACCUUAAAGUAAAUUCGGCUUAAAAUACGUCUUUACUUUACUUUUACUAGUAUUUUUUAUAUUGUUCUGUCAUUACUUUUACUUAAGGAAAGGAUCUUCAAUACUUUGUCCGCCACUGAAGAGACUUUAGUUAGAGCAAAACCCCAAGGUGAGGUCUGGGGUCUACUUCUCCUCUUCUGUUCAUUUCCCCACAGCUUGCUCCAUCCUCACUGGUCCGUCUUGGUCACAUGACCGGCCAUCAUGCAGGUUGAAUUAAAGAAUGCACCCAAUGACUCCACUGUAAUUGUAACUGUGUUCGCCCCAGUACAGACCUGGAAGUGUGUGGCGUGCAGUGGGAUAAGGAAACACUGACACCUUGUGUCUGAAAAGAGAACUGGAGCUCUGUCCUUUGUGAAACUGUAAUUGUACAACUAGACAGGUUGUUGCCAGAGUUACAGCAGUUUUCAUCCAGAAAUGCAAGACAUGCUGUUUUAGUAUAAAACUGAUAUUGUUGUUGUUGUGUCCAGAAUUCCAGUCAUGUUUGACCAAUGUUUAAAGUCGCCACCCGUUUUGCUCUCAGUAAAACAAUAAUUAUUGUUAUCUGCAUCUCAGCACUACAGAGUGUCUCCUUAAGGCCAGGGGGGAUUUAUUACAGUGUUAAGGGUCGGGGUCAUUUCCAUCCGAACUGUGUCAGUGCUGCAAAUCUACAGGCAUCUUUUUUUUUUUUUUUUUCUUCUUCUUCUUUUAAUUCCAUGUUUUAAAGCCAAGACAAACAUGCAGUUGGAGGCAGUUGUAGCAGGUGACACAGAUGACCUCUGCAGGAUUCAUGUCAAAUCCUGAAUUUGAUCUGGAAAAAUCUGAAGAGUUUCAUUCCAAAAUACCGUAUUUGAAGAAAAAAAAAAGUACAUUGUUUUAAAAAAUAUUUAUGAUCGUUUUUCAAAAGAAAGCAGGUAACUUCAGUGUUCGGUGGACAAAAACACGUGCAGACCAGCUCUUGUACAUUUUACAUAUAUUUAAAGUUGCGCAAAUUGCCUGUUUUUGGCCACUUGGGGGCAGUGUGCCAAGCUGAAAGCACAACAGCCCAACUGAUAGAGAGCCAAAGUCCCGACGUCACCUCCGGGCCAGCCUCUGAUCCACCAGCUUCAGUAACUUGGUGCAGUCUCUCAGUGAGCAUUUUUCACUGGUCUUUCUUUAAAAAAAAAAAUGUAGUGUGUUCCUGGGUUUAAUCUCCACAUUACAUAAGUGACUAUCCACGACAGCACUUGCAAUUAGAGGGGGAAACCUUUGGGAUCUUAACAGUUAAACCUCCCAUGAAGACUUACCAGCACAGGUACUUAGAACAUUAUAACUUGGUUUCUUCCAUGUCCAUAAUAUCCAAAAACACCCUGUUCUAAUGUCUUUUUGCCAACAUUUAGUCUCUACUGUCUAAAGAGGUUUACACAUAGAAUGAGAUUAUUUCACAUAAACUGCACUUCGGCUCUCUAUAAAGCUGAUAUGGCUAACGUGUUAGCAAACGGUUCCAUAUCUGGCCACCCGAACAUGAGUCCAAUAUUCAGUCUCCUUUUCGCUCUUUUGGCCUGGUUCUUUAGCUGCCAGGUGUUUUAUUACGUUUACUUAGCUAGUUGCUGACUUUGUCUGUCUUCGCUUCAGUGCUAGACGGCUAGCUUACAGUGGGUUUCUUUGGGGGUUUUUUUCACUGAAAACAGCUGCCUGCAGCUGUAAAUGAAGUUGAUAAGAGCAGCAGUCGGUUGAAAACCAAAACAGAGCGCUAAAAGAAGCUAAAAUGCCCAGUGCAUCGGAAGGGGAAGUGCAGACUUGGUGACAGUUCUCUAUGGUUUCUUCGCCGUAAACGACACCUUUCACGUUACGCGGAGUCGUUUGAGCCCAUUGUUGAUCUAAAAAUACUGAUUGGUGCAGCUUUAAAGAUGAGCGUCGGGUAAUGAAUUUCCCCCUGAAAUGUGCAUGUACAAGCAUUUUGGAAACAAGCUCUUCAUACUGUGUGUUGCUUCAGCAGUUUGGAUCGCGUUCUCCACUCUUGUGGUCUGACAGUGUGGCAGACAGAUCCAGAUCCAGGGGGACACAGCCUGUUCAGUUGUAUUUGAUGGGGAUCAAAACCAGCAGCUAUUCAAAGGUUUUCUCCCCCCUUUAGUGUGUGUAUUUGAAGUCGAACUGAGUAGCGGUGAGGAUACGUUUAGACACUUUGUUGUAAAUUUCUCUCCCCACACAAGCGAGGUGUCACAAGUAUUACUGAGCACGAGGCUCCGUUGGACAAAUUACUGUCAAACAACUCCUAUGCAAACAAAUCCCAGUCUAAAACUUUUGCCCGUGCUUAGGGUUUGCAGUUGACAGGUUUUAUGAUAUUUUGAUGGCUCAUGUGUAUUAAUUCCUGUGUGAUAUUACAGUAGUGUGCAGUAGUCCAAGACAACACUCACUUAUGUCCUUUUUUUUCCACAGCAUUUUAAAAUGUACUCUAAACGAACAAUUGUAAAGAAAUACAUAUACUGUAUAUGGAUAAUAUACAAUCAUAUUUAUUAUUCCCAUACAUCUAUGUAUAAUUCCCAUUUUUCUGCCUUAACUAUAGUAGCUAUAGAAAAGGGACCUCUGUCAUCACUAGACCGUAUUUCUUGUCCUUUUAGAGUUAUUUCAUCUCUGUAAGCUCACAUGAAAGCAUGUCUAGUUACUGAAUGUGUUGAUGACACCUGCAUGUACGGCAGAAUGAAGGUGACGCUGUUGUGUGGGAUCGCUCGCCGGCACCCCGCGGUUUGUUUGGACUUUGUCGCGCAGAUAUUCCACAGUGUCAGCGUUUUUACAGGAAUGAUAAUGAUCCACGUUUGUAUUUGUGUGGAUGGUGCCUUUUUUAGUCAGGCAUCUUUUAAAGAUGUCAUGGGAAUUUGGUGUAUGUGUGUGUGUGUGUGUGUGUGUGUGUGUGCGUUUGUAUUGACACGCCUCCUCUGUUAGCUCUCGGUCUUUUUCCUGUGUCCUCUUUUUUCCUCAUGACUAUGUAGCAUAUUGUUAUUUACACAAUGUGGAAGCUAGCAGGUAAUUAUACAUACAUAUAUAUAUAUAUAUGUAUGUAUACGUAUGUAUGUGUAUAUACAUAUAUAUAAUUUCCCUUCAUUAUGUCACACCUCUAAAGACUGCAAACAGUCCUGAUGGAGGAUUCUCUCUCGUUUCUUCUUCUGAUAGAUAUCGUCCUCACACAUUACUUAAGCGCAGUUAUAAGUAUGUUUUGAAAUGCUGUACAUAAAAACACAUUUUAAGAAAUUUUCAUUGAGGUAUUGAUACAAGAAUUGUCUUUUAAUGCACUGUUGUUGCUCAAAUAUUUAGUGGUAAAAUAAAAAAAAGUAUUUAAUGUUUUUUAAUGUCUUGCUUUAGACACUAAAGCUCUGGCAGUGCUAUGAAAAUUAUGAGGCUCCUCUGUGUGUGUAGAUAUUGACAGACACACUUUAGUAUAAGCCUAUAUGAAAUCUAGUGCACCUCUAGGCUGCUUUCUCCUCUCACGUUUCUUCCUUUUUCAUAGCAGUGCAUGUGCCUGUCUUUUUCCGAUAGAGAAGAAAAGCACUUAUUGUCGCCCUCUGGACAGUUUGUACAGACGGACAGGCACUCCAUCUGCAAAGCUUUGUUCCUGCGGUGCCUUCAGUGCCCGUCAUGUCGGUCAGAUAACAAGCACUGUUUGGCUACAAAACGUAACCGGACACAAAAGGUGGUUGCAGUAACUCUCUGUCCCAUCGAAGCGUCUUUUAAUAAGCAGUUGUGUACAGAAAGAAAAAAAUAGCAACUGUCAUUUAACGUUUGUUUAAAUUGAUCUUCGUGCACCUAAUUCCCCAAAGCUCUCACUGAGCUGCAUCAGCAGAAUGCUUUGCAGGUUGGGGCGUCUGUCCACUCUUCUACAUUCUCUCUGUAUUAUGUGCGAGUGCGUGUGCGUGUGCGUGCGUGCACACGAGUUUGAAAUAUACAUAUGGCCUAUAUGUACUGUCUUUUCAUGUCAUUUCUAGAUAAGGCAGCAAUAGCUCAACGCAGGAAAAUCAAAAAAAGAAACAUUUAUUUAGCUGCUUUUAGCAAACUUGUCCAAAUUUCACUGUACAAAUGACUGUUAAAUGAGAAAAAAAGUCAUGUAUAU